UACGUAGGGUGCAAGCGUUUAAUCGGAAUUACUGGGCGUAAAGCGUGCGCAGGCGGUUUUGUAAGUCUGUCGUGAAAGCCCCGGGCUCAACCUGGGAAUUGCGAUGGAGACUGCAAGGCUUGAAUCUGGCAGAGGGGGGUAGAAUUCCACGUGUAGCAGUGAAAUGCGUAGAGAUGUGGAGGAACACCGAUGGCGAAGGCAGCCCCCUGGGUCAAGAUUGACGCUCGAUGACACGAA
rnacentral:rRNA from 1 species